rnacentral:rRNA from 1 species
AGCGACCCCAGGUCAGGCGAGACUACCCGCUGGGUUUAA